UACGUAGGGGGCAAGCGUUGUCCGGAUUUAUUGGGCGUAAAGAGCGUGUAGGCGGCUUUACAGGUCCGUUGUGAAAACUCGAGGCUCAACCUCGAGACGCCGGUGGAAACCGUAAAGCUAGAGUCCGGAAGAGGAGAGUGGAAUUCCUGGUGUAGCGGUGAAAUGCGCAGAUAUCAGGAGGAACACCCGUGGCGAAAGCGGCUCUCUGGGACGGUACUGACGCUGAGACGCGAAGGCGUGGGGAGCAAACAGG
rnacentral:rRNA from 1 species